UACGUAGGGGGCAAGCGUUGUCCGGCUUUAUUGGGCGUACAGAGCGUGUAGGCGGCUUUACAGGUCCGUUGUGAAAACUCGAGGCUCAACCUCGAGACGCCGGUGGAAACCGCAAGGCUAGAGUCCGGAAGAGGAGAGUGGAAUUCCUGGUGUAGCGGUGAAAUGCGCAGAUAUCAGGAAGAACACCCGUGGCUAAGGCGGCUCUCUAGUACGGUACUGACGCUGAGACGCGAAAGCGUGGGGAGCGAACAGG
rnacentral:rRNA from 1 species